rnacentral:rRNA from 1 species
UGCAUGUCUCAGUACAUGCCUAAUUAAGGUGAAACCGCGAAUGGCUCAUUAAAUCAGUUAUGGUUCCUUAGAUCGUACCCACAUUUACUUGGAUAACUGUGGUAAUUCUAGAGCUAAUACAUGCAAACUAGAAUUCCGACCAGAGAUGGAAGGAAUGCUUUUAUUAGAUCAAAACCAAUCGGUGGUAUAUAAUUUAUUAUAUAUCCAUCGUUAAUUUUGAUGACUCUGAAUAACUUUGUGCUGAUCGCAUGGUCUUGUACCGGCGACGAAUCUUUCAAAUGUCUGCCUUAUCAACUGUCGAUGGUAGGUUCUGCGCCUACCAUGGUUGUAACGGGUAACGGGGAAUCAGGGUUCGAUUCCGGAGAGGGAGCCUGAGAAACGGCUACCACAUCCAAGGAAGGCAGCAGGCGCGCAAAUUACCCACUCCCGGCACGGGGAGGUAGUGACGAAAAAUAACGAUACGGGACUCAUCCGAGGCCCCGUAAUCGGAAUGAGUACACUUUAAAUCCUUUAACGAGGAUCCAUUGGAGGGCAAGUCUGGUGCCAGCAGCCGCGGUAAUUCCAGCUCCAAUAGCGUAUAUUAAAGUUGUUGCGGUUAAAAAGCUCGUAGUUGAAUUUGUGUGCCACGCUGUCGGUUCAUCGCUCGCGAUGUUUAACUGGCAUGAUUGUGGGACGUCCUACCGGUGGAUUUAGCUUUAUAUAUUUUCGAAUAUAUUUAGCGAUCCAGUUUAUAUCCCGUCGCGGUGCUCUUUAUUGAGUGUCGAGGUGGGCCGGUACGUUUACUUUGAACAAAUUAGAGUGCUUAAAGCAGGCUUUUUUUGCCUGAAUACUGUGUGCAUGGAAUAAUAGAAUAGGACCUCGGUUCUAUUUUGUUGGUUUUCGGAACCCCGAGGUAAUGAUAAUAGGACAGAU